CCUCCAAAUUUUAUGUUCCCAGGGCUAAGCAAUCCCUGGCACAAGUUUAUUGACUGACUUUAGUUACGUAUGCUCAAUAAUAUGCUCAAGAUAAAUCUGGGUUCUUCUGUUACUCUAUGGUUCCAAAAGGCAUGAUGAGAAGAAGAUACACUUCUAUGAUAAAAUGAAGGAUUGAGCAUUCUGAUUCCAGGGUAAGAAGCCAUUAUUCCUCCCGCCUUUCACUGGAAAGAUGCAGUCAGUCAGUCAACAUCCACAAGAACCCUGUUACAGUCUUUGGGAUGGCUCAAGUGACCAGAGGGCUCUGGAAAGUCAUCUCUGUGCCACAAACUGGGCCAGGUUCCACUCAAUUCAAAGGUUUUGGAUCUAGACCCAGUGAGGGACUUCACAGUGUGUGGAGGUGGCCUGUGGAGCAGCCAAACAAAGUGCCAAGAUUGUACCACAAGAUAAGCUGCCCUCCCUCUGUAGGCAAGUAAGGGCCCAAUGAAGUUAUGGUGUGACUGUAAUAUAAUCUGUAGAAGAAAUAUUAUGGAAUAGUACACAAAAAUUCCUAACUAUUCUUCCAACAAGAACAAAUUCUUGAGAUAUUGAAAUAAUAAGGUAAGGAAGCUCCUUUUGAAUACCAGGGAAAUUGUAACUAUAAAUUAAAGUUAAUUGAUGCUUAUUAAGGCUUUCAGGAUAGGUGCUUUAAAAUGUAAAUAGUUUAGGGCAAAAAAAUCUCAUGGAUGUGGGGCCUUCAACUAUUUAGAACAGGUGUGAGAACCCUAAAGAGAGAGAGACCAGAUAGUCUGCUUACUUUACACACAAUUGUAACAGGUUAGUUGUAUAGUUUUCUAUAGCUGCCAAGGAGGUUGGGGGAGGGGAAAAAGGGGAGAAGGAAAGCAAAUGACAGUAAGAAAAAUGUAUAGCUGACAAUGAAGAGUCUGGGACGAUUGUGGGUGUGGAAAUAUCAUUAUAUUACAGCAUAGUAAUUGAUGUUCACAAUGAUGACUACUACUCAUCAAGAAAAGGUUAAAUUACAUUUUGAAUACUCAGCUUUAGAAAGCAGAGAAGUGUGUAAUAGAUUUUAGCAAGGUUUCUAUCUUAAGUGGUUAAAAAAAUAAAAAAAGCUAGUGCUUAAAGGGCA
rnacentral:lncRNA from 1 species